UUCAGGGACAAUUUCAACUGGAACGGUAUCCGCAAAUCGACUAACAAGCAGGUUUCCUAUCUAUUAUUCGGUAGACAGAAGGGCUUGGAAUAAGGAAACCUGCCUAAGGUUUAAAGGAAACUUGCAUUUCUUCACUAAAGCGCUGAAAGAUUGGCUAUGAAGCGUCAGUACACUUUGCUCUUCAUCCUCCUGCAAGCUGCCGUGUUCCUCUGGGGAGUCAGUGGUCAGGAUACAGUUUCCCAGUCGCCAGUCUCUGUCACUGUAGGGGAGACGGAACGAGUGAUUUUCAGCUGUUCGGCAACAGGACCGAAUAACGCCUUACAGUGGUACAGACAGUACCCUAACCAGGCUCUGACGCACUUGGUAACAGGAAAGACAGGAGAGCAGCAGAAGGAGAGGAUCACAGCUACAAUGAACUAUAGAGAGAAGGGCAGUAAUCUGAGCAUCACAGGCACAGAAGUGACAGACGCCGCCACCUACUUGUGUGCAGUGGAGACACAGUGA